rnacentral:rRNA from 1 species
CGGCGGACGGGUGAGUAAUGCCUAGGAAUCUGCCUGGUAGUGGGGGACAACGUUUCGAAAGGAACGCUAAUACCGCAUACGUCCUACGGGAGAAAGCAGGGGACCUUCGGGCCUUGCGCUAUCAGAUUAGCCUAGGUCGGAUUAGCUAGUUGGUGAGGUAAUGGCUCACCAAGGCGACGAUCCGUAACUGGUCUGAGAGGAUGAUCAGUCACACUGGAACUGAGACACGGUCCAGACUCCUACGGGAGGCAGCAGGG